GAGAGUGAGAAAGAAAGAGUGCUGGGGCGUGCAGAUCACGUUUCACAUCACAUCAGAGCUGUGGAAUUUCCUCUCUUCUAGGGGGAGGCCUGUGAAGAUGAAGUUGGUUUAAGUUAAGCCACGUGCUCCACACCACACGAUUGUCGCUGACCCCUCUCUCUGAGGCCCUUACCUCCCAAGAGAUGUGUUUAUUUUUUAAAUUCUACCCAGAAAGCUGUUUAGGAUUUUGCAGUCUAUCAGGGUCAUCAUUUUCAGACAUCUAUUAAUGCUGUAUUGUAGCCACGGGAGAGGUUCAGUUAAUAAAGGGCUCUGGUUGAUAGAUGGCUAGAGCAGUCUUUUGCACUAUCUUCUUCGAAUUGCUACUGAGCUAUAACAAUACGCUGAGUCCAUUUUUUGAUCGUUUUACAAACCAUAUACUCACAUUCUCCCUCUCCUUUCUCUCUUUUCCAAACACCCUCCCCCCAACAGUUUUGCAAAAAAUAAAUAGAAUCUUUCCUCCUCUUCACGUUAUCUACUCUCUGCUACCUUUCCAACGUGAGCUAUAGCCUUGAACUUGGUCAGACUCAACUGAGCUUCCUUAGUCUGUGCUGUUCCUUCUUCGUGUACGCCUACAGUCGUUUUCUAAGUUUGACUCUUUUUCCUAGGUCUAUUAAAUUUGGGAUAGGUAUGAUUAUUUAAACUGGUCCUUCUGGAUUUCUUAGUGGUUUCCCAAGAAAAAGCAAGGAUAGUCAUUCAAGUGAUAUUUCCUGUAUGCCCAAGGAAAAUAAGCCAACAGCAUGUUUUUCUAUUCUUAGUUGAAAUGAAAAUUAAUUUUUGAAAGUCCUAUAGUCAGCUUAGUUCAUCAUAACCUGCUGAUGACCUUAGUGGUGGAGGAUCUAAGGACGCGAAUGUUAAAAUUAGAACUGACUUUGAGUACUGGCCUUAUUUACCAGCUGGGCACCUUAUUUUUAUUUAACUAACACUUAUACAACAUUUACUAUGUGCCAAACGCUGUUCUAAGCGUUUUACAAAUAUUUGCUUGGCUAAUCCUCAGAGCAGUGUUGUUAUUGUAUAAGACUAUUGUGAAGUUGUGUUAUUAUUAUUCGCACUUUACAGAUGAAGAAUCUGAGACAUGGAGAUGUGAAGUAAUUUGCCAACCUAUGAACAUGAAUUCAAGCAUGCCUCCCUAGCAAGUCCUGCAUUAAGUGGCAGAUGUAGCUCUGUGUCCACGUGCACCACCUUGCAACCUUGGACAAGUCACUGAGCAGUGUGGAGACACGUGUAGGGUGUGAAACUGUGGGCAGCAGGGAAGACAGGGCAUUUGCACACACGUGACAAACCAAAGAGCAAAGCCAGAGGGAAAGGAAAUUUCGAGGGCUGUUCCUCCCACCCUCAUCCCCGUGUAGACCAGCGUAGCAGGUCUCCAGUACCUUCUUAUAAUUCAAUUCACAGCCUCAGUCCUGUACCAUUUCCGUUUCCUUGAACUGCAUCUAGACAUGAUUCUGGUCCCCAUCAGCUUCUGACCUCAUUACUCAUUCUGUUUACAGCUUGGCCUCACCCUUCAGACUGCCCUGAUUUCCCAGAUAGGAAUUUGCUGCCCUCAUUGACUAUGAUUCAGAUUUUCACCCCAGCCGCAUUGCACCAGGCCCUCCUGUGUACACAGCCCUCUGGUCAGACUGGCACCCUGAAACCCCCUCCCCCAUCCUUCCCUGAAACUCCUGUGGUGGGUAAGCCAGGGCUCUAGGAGUAUAUCCCACUC
rnacentral:lncRNA from 1 species